CCUACGGGCGGCAGCAGUGAGGAAUAUUGGUCAAUGGGCUUACGCCUGAACCAGCCAAGUCGCGUGAGGGAAGACUGCCCUAUGGGUUGUAAACCUCUUUUGUCAGGGAGCAACGCCGGCUACGCGUAGCCGGACUGAGAGUACCUGAAGAAAAAGCAUCGGCGAACUCCGUGCAAGCAGCCGCGGUAAUACGGAGGAUGCGAUGGUUAUCCGGAUUUAUUGGGUUAAAAGGGUGCGUAGGCGGAAUGCCAAGUCAGCGGUAAAAUCGCGGGGCUCAACCUCGCUCAGCCGUUGAAACUGGGGUUCUUGAGUGGGCGGGAAGUAUGCGGAAUGCGUGGUGUAGCGGUGAAAUGCAUAGAUAUCACGCAGAACUCCGAUUGCGAAGGCAGCAUGCCGGGGCCCAACUGACGCUGAAGCACGAAAGCGUGGGGAUCGAACAGGAUUAGAUACCCUAGUAGUC
rnacentral:rRNA from 1 species